UAAUACGGAGGGUGCGAGCGUUGUCCGGAUUUAUUGGGUUUAAAGGGUGCGUAGGCUGGGAGGUAAGUCAGCGGUGAAAAGCACACGCUUAACGGGUGUCUUGCCGCAGAUACUACUUUUCUUGGAUGAGGAGGAGGUCACUGGAACGGAUGGUGUAGCGGUGAAAUGCAUAGAUAUCAUCCAGAACACCGAUUGCGAAGGCAGGUGACUGUACCUUAAUCGACGCUGAGGCACGAAAGCGUGGGGAGCGAACAGG
rnacentral:rRNA from 1 species